CUAAGCCAAGUCUCCUUCAAAAUGGUGGAGUGCAGAGAAUCAGAGAGUGGUUGUAGAGGGAAGUAGACAACACAGCAAAUAGUAGCUGUCCGUAACUCACUCCAGAUGCGUCUCUGGGACCACUGCAUAUCCUUAGGAAGACAGCCUAUGGUUAGAGAUAGUCCUCAAUUCAGAGAAGGGAACUGUGUCACCUGGUGGAGCAAAUAACUUAAUCCCUCUGUGUCUGAUUUAUCAACCAAAACUACAAAUUAGAUCUUCACUGAAGAUAAAAGUGUCUGACAUCUACAUUUGAACCGAUCUUCUCUUAUCUGACGGGGAACGUGAACAGUGAUUAUCCACUUAGCCCAGAUCCAUUCUCUGAUUUUUAAAAAUGUGAUUUGCUAACACAUACCAGACUUCACAUAGGGAGAAGGUGUAAACAUGGAAUCCGUUUCUUGAAGAGCAUUUCAUACAACGCCCCUGAGGAACACACUUUGGAAAAUGUUCAUCCCUGUCCAACUACCAUGUUUGCGUGAGUUUAUGAUCUGCCUGCCGUUCAUCAGCCUUUGUUAUCAGAUGAGGAAACCAAGACACAGAGAAGAUAAACAACUUGCCUGAAGUCACAAAUGGUAAGUGGUGGAGCUGGGAUGUGAACCUGG
rnacentral:lncRNA from 1 species